AUCUCACCCCUCCACCCCUCCCUCUGUGUUCCUCUUUGGAGGUGCUCUCUCUUGCUCCUUCGCUCCACGGUCGGCCAUCUCCUCCGACUCCGGCCAUUUCAUCCGACAACUCGAAGGCCAACGCCGUCUCCGUAGCAGCCAAGUCCAUACUCCGACUGUUUUUGACAGAUCUCAUCGCGCCAAUUUCAAAGCUUCAUCCCUACACCGAACGCAGACAUCUCCCUCCACCUAUAUUGUGUAAGCUCGUUCUCCUCCUCCGUCCACCACCUCGCGAGAGCUCUCUUCCCUUAUUGCUUGUUGAUACCACCCAACUUCACCUCUUUCCUAAAAUUUCUGGCCCAUCAACUUGUCGAACCCUAAAAAAUUGGGUAUUUCUUGUUGGUGCUACUCUCUCUCUCUCUCCAUACCUAGGUUGGUCCUGCAUCUCAAUCGAUUUGGGAGUGUGUUCAGUUCUCGCGAUGUGGCAACAAUGGUUGGAGCUCGAUCUGUCCACCCUUUUGAGUGUUAAUUAGGAAGAACUAAUCACGUCACGGAGGGAACCAUCGUCUCUUCAAAGCGGCAUGCGAGCCACCACAUUCAUUGAACCAUUUCUAGUAAUUGAGGUGUAGCCAGGAGCCCAUGAGAUUGUAUAAUCAUGGCAGCCUACGAGUAUACAUGGAAUGAUAUUGACGAAGGAAAAGUUUGCCCCUUUGCCUCUUAGAGGAUACAUGAGCUGGAUGGAAAGGUGUAUCAGUUCUUACUUUGUUAGUGAUGUUAGUGAAGCUUCUUUUGUGGAACACUUAGUGGCUAUGGCUUGGACAAUAGAGUUUUCAUACUAUCGCCAUUCUUCCAGAUCGUGUGGUCAAGAAUGAUUGAAAGAAACAAUUUUCCCUUAGAUGAGAGAAGAGCAUAUGGACUCCACACAAGGUCUAUGACUUGAAAAAGAAAAAAGUUUCGUUACUUUCACUAUUGAAGAUGGAUGGAGAUCGCUCUACUGCCGGUUGAUCAAUAGCUUCUUUAUGAGUUCAUCUGCUGUGGUUUUUUUGGUUGACACGCCAUAAGAGCUUCAAGGAAGGACACAAGAGGAUACUUGAUGCAACAUAUUUGGUGGGUGGGGGAAUUGACAUUGAGCGAGUUAACUUUGUCUUCAACUAUGACAUGCCAGAUUCUGCAGAUACUUAUCUGCUCUGCGUAGGAAGAGCUAUUAGGUUUGGUACCAAAGGACUUGCAAUCACAUUUGUUUCAUUUGCAUCAGAUUAUGAUGUUCUCAAUCACAUUUUUUACUCAACAUCAGUGCACGUUGGCUUGAUCAGAUUUUGAUAUGUGGAGGACUGAGAUUUUGCCAACAAUUGUCCAUCAUAGCAAUCAAUAAACGCUAUAGAAAGUUUUUAACAGCGGGCAAUGAACGCUAUAGAAAGUUAAGACUUUUAAUAACAUGGGCUAAUACAGCGUUCUCCGGAACGCUAUCUAUUACCUACUAUAGUGUUUUUUGCACACUGUGAAAGGCGUUUUUUGUUGUAGUGUGUGGAUGGAUUGUGACUGUACAUGGGAGUUUCUUGUAAUGUUUUUACUUUGUGCUAGGAAAUGGAAAAGAUGAAAUUCUAACUUCAAGUAUUUGGUUAUUGUAAUGCAAAUGUGACUGCUUGUUUGGAGUUAAUGGUCUGAACUUUUUUCUUCCAGUUUAACUCUUUCUUAAUGGCCUCAUGCAGCACAAUGGGUAAAAGGCUUGCACAAACUGACCGAAGCAUAUUGAUGCAUCUUUGAUUCAUCCAAGCACUUGUUUCCCUUUUACGCACUUUAGCUAUGCUUUUGUUUUGUUUUUUGGUUGGUUUGUUUUCAUUUAUGGUUGGAACUUAUUUACUAAUGAUAAUGAUAAAUUACCGGUGUCCUUAUUGGAUAGGUGUCCAAGACUCCUGCUAAUUGAUGAUGAUGUUUUACAGGUAAGAAGGGUUUUUGGAUUGAAUUGCAUUGAACUUGUCAACCAUGUUGAACCUGCUAUUAAGAUUGAAUAUGCAUAAGUUUGGUAGCAGGGAAGAUGGUAUAUAUAUGCUCUACUAAGAAGAGUUUUUGUUUGGAUAUAUGCUUCUAUGAAGACUUUAUUUUUGGAUGAAGUUCCAAGUCUUCUUUUCUGGAUAUAUGCUUCUAUGAAGACUCCUUUUUGGUUAAAGUUACGAGUCUUCUUCUUUUAUUUUAAUGAUGCUACCGAACUAUGAUGAACAUAUAUGGUAUUGAUGCUACCUUUCAUGUUUUUGUCAUGGGGACAUUGAUGCUUUAGACCCUAUGGGUGCGGAUAGACAUUUUGGUGUAGUGUACAUAGUUCUCAUGGUUAAUGGAUGUCUAAUUUGGACACGAUUAUAUUGGUUUAUGAAGAUGUGUUGGUUAUUA